rnacentral:rRNA from 1 species
AACGAACGCUGGCGGCAGGCCUAACACAUGCAAGUCGAACGCCCUAGCAAUAGGGAGUGGCAGACGGGUGAGUAACGCGUGGGAAUAUCCCCCUCAGUACGGAAUAGCCCAGGGAAACUUGGAGUAAUACCGUAUACGUCCGUAAGGAGAAAGAUUUAUCGCUGAGGGAUUAGCCCGCGUCGGAUUAGCUAGUUGGUGAGGUAAUGGCUCACCAAGGCGACGAUCCGUAGCUGGUCUGAGAGGAUGAUCAGCCACACUGGGACUGAGACACGGCCCAGACUCCUACGGGAGGCAGCAGUGGGGAAUAUUGGACAAUGGGCGCAAGCCUGAUCCAGCCAUGCCGCGUGAGUGACGAAGGCCUUAGGGUUGUAAAGCUCUUUUGUCGGGGACGAUAAUGACGGUACCCGAAGAAUAAGCUCCGGCUAACUUCGUG